GAUUGAGGGGGAUGAGGGUGAGGCUUGAGAGUCUGCAUUUCUCACAAGCUCCCAGGCAAUGCAGACGCUGCUGGUCCACGGACCACACUUCUGAGCAG